rnacentral:rRNA from 1 species
CGGAGGAUCCAAGCGUUAUCCGGAUUUAUUGGGUUUUAAAAGGGUGCGUAGGUGGAUUGAUAAGUCAGCGGUGAAAAGUUUGCAGCUUAACUAGUAAAAUUGCCGUUGAAAACUGUCAGUCUUGAGUGCAAAAUGAGGUAGGCGGAAUGUGUUGUGUAGCGGUGAAAUGCUUAGAUAUAACACAGAACUCCGAUUGCGAAGGCAGCUUACUGGGAUGCAACUGACACUGAUGCACGAAAGCGUGGGGAUCAAACAGGAUU